ensembl:lncRNA
AGAGCAGGCAUGUGUUUAUUGGUGACGCGCGUACACCCUGGUGCAAGGGGGAUCGCUCCACCUAACUUGCACACCGUCAGGAGAAAUCGUGCUAUAGAUAUAGGUCGAACUAAUACAUAAUCAAUAGUUGACAGGAAUUUGGAUACAUGUUCAUUACAUUCCUGAGAGCCCAUUAGCAUGCAGUCCCUCCCCCCCUUGCGCGUGCGUAGUAGGUCGGGAUGAUGAAGGCUCGUAGUCUUCCUCGCAAAGGCUCGUAGUCUUCCUUGCUGCAAACUUCUGACCCCGAAGGGGGGGGGGGCAUCCUUCGAACCGGUUUCAGCUUGCCCUGUAGCUAUCUGAUCACCUCCCUGCCAAAUGUUUUCCAGCUGCUCUCCAGUCCUUAUCCUUAUGGCCUUCAUCCUCCUUGUUAUUCCAGACCUAGUGUCUGUGAAAGUGCUUGGAAUCCCUUGUUUCCUAACACUGUACAUAAACAAUCUCUCUUGGCCCCUUAUGUCUACCUUGUGAAGCUGCUUUCUCUUUUCUUGCUACAAAGCCCUUCUUUCUAUACUGCAGGGACCUGAUUUUGCCCUUCAAUUCCCCCCUUUUCUAUAAUCUAGCAGGACUUCUACCUGCUAGAUUCUCUGAUCUGUUCUAUGUGUCCCAAAAGAGGUCCCACUUUCCACCUUUUGCCUUAGCCCAUGUUUCUUCCAUAUCUCGUAUUCUUUUCUCGUAUUUCGGCACAGGCAGGCAGAGCACUUUUUCAUCACACAGGUAAAACCAACUAUCAGUACUAAGAUGAUACAAACUAGGAAGAGCUGCUUUAACCAUCCUAGAUUUGCUAGCCAGCUAGUAAGCAAAUCCCAUAAAUCUCCUUCCCAGUUGGUGUCUUCCUGACUUGCCCUAUGCAAGACUUUUGUCUGUUCCCAACUUUUCCUUAAAUCUGUCUCGAUUCUUACAUCCUUAGUGAUGUAAGCACAGCAACUCUGACUUAUUAUUGUACAUACCCCUCCUUCCUUGGCUGUUAAUAGGUCUAGUGCCAUCCUAUUCUGGAGCUCUUGAAAACGGUUUAAGGGCUGGUCUGGCCCGGUUCCGCGACUAGUGGGGCGGAGGGAUUUCACAAAAUCCACGCCUCCAGGAAGGGAAACAGGGGACCCCAAAAUAAUUAAAAACAGCGGCAACGAUCUGAGGAGAAACAAACUAAUUUACUAAAUAUAGUAUCGGAAUGUAAGAUAGCACACUAUAAUACAAUAUAAAUCAACAGUAAUUGAAAGAAAGAUUGUCCGAGAGCCAAAGGCCUUACGCUAAUACUGAAGCCUUGCGUGCAGUCGGGCGCAGCAGAAGCGAGCCGAUCUGACAGGGAACACGGCGAGACGAGAAG